AAAGGAAUAGACGGGGGCCCGCACAAGCGGUGGAGCAUGUGGUUUAAUUCGAAGCAACGCGAAGAACCUUACCAGGGUUUGACAUCUACCGGAAGGCGUAUGGAGACAUAUGCUGUCCUUUGGACUGGUAGACAGGUGGUGCAUGGUUGUCGUCAGCUCGUGUCGUGAGAUGUUGGGUUAAGUCCCGCAACGAGCGCAACCCUUAUUAUUAGUUGCCAUCACGUGAAGGUGGGCACUCUAAUGAGACUGUCGGUGACAAGCCGGAGGAAGGUGGGGACGACGUCAAAUCAUCAUGCCCUUUAUGUCCUGGGCUACACACGUGCUACAAUGGUCUGCACAACGGGUUAGCGAAGUCGCGAGGCGGAGCCAAUCCCUUAAAGCAGGUCUCAGUUCGGAUUGCAGGCUGCAACUCGCCUGCAUGAAGUCGGAAUCGCUAGUAAUCGCGAAUCAGCAUGUCGCGGUGAAUACGUUCCCGGGCCUUGUACACACCGCCCGU
rnacentral:rRNA from 1 species